rnacentral:rRNA from 1 species
UUGAAGAGUUUGAUCAUGGCUCAGAUUGAACGCUGGCGGCAGGCCUAACACAUGCAAGUCGAACGGUAACAGGAAGCAGCUUGCUGCUUUGCUGACGAGUGGCGGACGGGUGAGUAAUGUCUGGGAAACUGCCUGAUGGAGGGGGAUAACUACUGGAAACGGUGGCUAAUACCGCAUAACGUCGCAAGACCAAAGAGGGGGACCUUCGGGCCUCUUGCCAUCAGAUGUGCCCAGAUGGGAUUAGCUUGUUGGUGAGGUAACGGCUCACCAAGGCGACGAUCCCUAGCUGGUCUGAGAGGAUGACCAGCCACACUGGAACUGAGACACGGUCCAGACUCCUACGGGAGGCAGCAGUGGGGAAUAUUGCACAAUGGGCGCAAGCCUGAUGCAGCCAUGCCGCGUGUAUGAAGAAGGCCUUCGGGUUGUAAAGUACUUUCAGCGGGGAGGAAGGUGUUGUGGUUAAUAACCACAGCAAUUGACGUUACCCGCAGAAGAAGCACCGGCUAACUCCGUGCCAGCAGCCGCGGUAAUACGGAGGGUGCAAGCGUUAAUCGGAAUUACUGGGCGUAAAGCGCACGCAGGCGGUCUGUCAAGUCGGAUGUGAAAUCCCCGGGCUCAACCUGGGAACUGCAUUCGAAACUGGCAGGCUUGAGUCUUGUAGAGGGGGGUAGAAUUCCAGGUGUAGCGGUGAAAUGCGUAGAGAUCUGGAGGAAUACCGGUGGCGAAGGCGGCCCCCUGGACAAAGACUGACGCUCAGGUGCGAAAGCGUGGGGAGCAAACAGGAUUAGAUACCCUGGUAGUCCACGCCGUAAACGAUGUCUACUUGGAGGUUGUGCCCUUGAGGCGUGGCUUCCGGAGCUAACGCGUUAAGUAGACCGCCUGGGGAGUACGGCCGCAAGGUUAAAACUCAAAUGAAUUGACGGGGGCCCGCACAAGCGGUGGAGCAUGUGGUUUAAUUCGAUGCAACGCGAAGAACCUUACCUGGUCUUGACAUCCACAGAACUUUCCAGAGAUGGACUGGUGCCUUCGGGAACUGUGAGACAGGUGCUGCAUGGCUGUCGUCAGCUCGUGUUGUGAAAUGUUGGGUUAAGUCCCGCAACGAGCGCAACCCUUAUCCUUUGUUGCCAGCGAUUAGGUCGGGAACUCAAAGGAGACUGCCAGUGAUAAACUGGAGGAAGGUGGGGAUGACGUCAAGUCAUCAUGGCCCUUACGACCAGGGCUACACACGUGCUACAAUGGCGCAUACAAAGAGAAGCGACCUCGCGAGAGCAAGCGGACCUCAUAAAGUGCGUCGUAGUCCGGAUUGGAGUCUGCAACUCGACUCCAUGAAGUCGGAAUCGCUAGUAAUCGUGGAUCAGAAUGCCACGGUGAAUACGUUCCCGGGCCUUGUACACACCGCCCGUCACACCAUGGGAGUGGGUUGCAAAAGAAGUAGGUAGCUUAACCUUCGGGAGGGCGCUUACCACUUUGUGAUUCAUGACUGGGGUGAAGUCGUAACAAGGUAACCGUAGGGGAACCUGCGGUUGGAUCACCUCCUU